UCCAAUGAUUACUUAUGCUACCUAGAAGACAUUAUGUCAUUGUAAAAUAAGAGCAAUUGCAUUGGAUUUUGACAAAAAAAUUCCAAAAAUCAUCUGUGCCUGAUGCGCAUCAGGCACUCUUGCACGAAAAAUGAGCUCAAGGGUGCAUCAGUUUCUUUUUUUACACUUUCCAUAAUGCUUCUCUGUGAGACCUUCUUGCUCAAUAUUUCCCUUGAAGAUAGUUCCAUAUUACUCGUUGCUCUGUGAUUAUGCACUCUGUAUAAGUUUCUAGUCCUCGCGUUAAUAACACCUUUGGAAUUCUGUCUCUGGAGAAUUUCUUAUGUUUCCAGUAGGUUGUGAAGCUUAGAUAUUACUAACUUGGAGGAGACAGAAUAUCAGGAAAAAUGUUUUCGUAUUUGACUGUUUUGAUCAAGGAAUAACAUGCGGGGCAGAAUGGAGGAAAUGAUUCAUGUAGCCGACCCCAGCUAGUUUGGGAUCAAGGCUUAGUUGAGUUGUGUUGACUUAGGGAUAACAUUUGGGGCCUUGCUGGUUUCUUAUCCAGUUAUUUAACCUUGUAUAGAUAGCGAGCCUGAUGUUUUUUAAUUUUAAACACACACACAUGGCAUUUUGUAGCUUGAGUCAGAAUGUAAAGUAAUAACAUGUCAAUUUUUUUCGACUUUCUCCUCACCCUUCACCAACCUGGCAUCUGGACUUGAAAACUACUGUACAGCAUGUUUUCUAGGCAUGCACAAUGUGUCAUGGUUAUGUUUUCUGCCUGCGAAUUGGUUAGUGAUAUUAUUUACAUUCCUGUCCGCGAACAAUGCAGGGUUGUGAUUUCAACUUCAAAUCAAUGAGGAGCUGUAGCUUCUAAACUCAGUGUACCUGCAGACUGCAUAGGUUUAUGUUUUCUUGCACGUCCUAGUAAUCUGCCCAUUGGAAGUGACUGACCAUUUGUUUCUUAUUUCCUCUUUUUUGUGUGUGUGUGUGUGUUUGCAGAGUGGCAGAUCUACUUGCUACUCCUCGGUCUUUUCUUGGCCUCAGCAGUUCUGUUGUCUAUAAUUUACGAAAAGUCUGAUUCAUUCUUCGAAGAAAUCAACAUGCAAGGCCAUUGAUGGGAGCCUUUGUCAGGGAUCCUCAUAUUUCAGAUGAUCAAAGGCCAUGGAAUUCUGUUUGCUUUAUCGAUUUGACGAAAUUAUGCACAUGUAUUUGAGUUGUAAAGCUUGUUGUCUGAUAUAUCUGAGGCGAAUUCAUGAUAGGGUUAAUCCAGUGUAAGAAAACUUGUUUCUGGGAGCUUGCAGCUUUUUCAAAAGAAUUUCAAAAUGCAUUAUUAGUUACAUUUUA